CGCUGGCGGCAGGCCUAACACAUGCAAGUCGAGCGCGCCCUUCGGGGUGAGCGGCGGACGGGUGAGUAACGCGUGGGAACGUGCCCUUUUCUACGGAAUAGUCUCGGGAAACUGGGGGGUAAUACCGUAUACGCCCUUCGGGGGAAAGAUUUAUCGGAGAAGGAUCGGCCCGCGUUGGAUUAGGUAGUUGGUGGGUAAUGGCCUACCAAGCCGACGAUCCAUGGCUGGUUUGAAAGGAUGAUCAGCCACACUGGGACUGAGACACGGCCCAGACUCCUACGGGAGGCAGCAGUGGGAAUCUUAGACAAUGGGCGCAAGCCUGAUCUAGCCAUGCCGCGUGAGCGAUGAAGGCCUUAGGGUUGUAAAGCUCUUUCAGGGGGAAGAUAAUGACUGUACCCCCAGAAGAAGCACCGGCUAACUACGUG
rnacentral:rRNA from 1 species